rnacentral:piRNA from 1 species
UCUGAUGCUGGCCACAGGCCCGGGGGUGA